GACGGACGCUGGCGGCGUGCUUAACACAUGCAAGUCGAACGGAAAGGCCCUGCUUUUGUGGGGUGCUCGAGUGGCGAACGGGUGAGUAACACGUGAGUAACCUGCCCUUGACUUUGGGAUAACUUCAGGAAACUGGGGCUAAUACCGGAUAGGAGCUCCUGCUGCAUGGUGGGGGUUGGAAAGUUUUGGCGGUUGGGGAUGGACUCGCGGCUUAUCAGCUUGUUGGUGGGGUAGUGGCUUACCAAGGCUUUGACGGGUAGCCGGCCUGAGAGGGUGACCGGCCACAUUGGGACUGAGAUACGGCCCAGACUCCUACGGGAGGCAGCAGUGGGGAAUAUUGCACAAUGGGCGGAAGCCUGAUGCAGCAACGCCGCGUGCGGGAUGACGGCCUUCGGGUUGUAAACCGCUUUCGCCUGUGACGAAGCGUGAGUGACGGUAAUGGGUAAAGAAGCACCGGCUAACUACGUG
rnacentral:rRNA from 1 species